AGAGAUAUUGCAAUUCAUUUGUACGCAAGAGAGAUUUCUAUUCAUUUACACAGAAAACUAAUCAGGAGAUUGUACAAAUAUUGAACAUUCUAUGUCCCGACUUGCUCUAAGAUAUACACAGCUCUUCAACAUUUUAUUUAUCAUCUUCAGCUGCCUUAUCUGUAGGUUGUUCAGCAGACUUCUUAGGAGUGGACUUGUACCGCCUGUAUAAUGAGGCGAAGCUUGAACCUAUAUCUUCAAAACUAACAGAAUAUCCAGACCGAGGGGGAACAACAGUCGAAUCAUCAAGAAUAGUAGUCAAAUCAUCAUCAGCACCAGAUUGAGACAAUACACUAUCACUGGCGGACCGAGACAAUACACUAUCACUGGCGGCUUCGAGACGUUCGAGACGCAUGAACGGUACAUACUUACGUUCGGAGACCACGCCGGCGGCGGUAGAUGAUUCAUACUGGCGAAAGAUAACACCGUCGUCCAGGAGGCUGCGAGGAGACGAUGCAGAUGGCGAAUCACCGCCAGCACCAGAUUGAGAUGACGAAGCGUAAGUAUCACCGGCGGAUCGAGAUUUCGAUACGGCGUCGUCGUUCGCAUCGGCGGAACGAGAUUUCGAUACGCCGUCGUCUUUUGCACUGGCGGAUCCGGACUUCGAUACGCUGGCGGAUUCGAGAAGUUCGACACGAAUAAACGGUACAUCCUCACGUUCGGAGACCACGCCGGCGUCGGUAGAUGAUUCAUCUUGGCGAAAGAUUACGCCGUCGUCCAGGAGGCUGCGAGGAGACGAUGCAGAUGGCGAAUUACCAGGGGCUUCGAGGCUAAAGUAGGGAAGAUCUUCGUCAUCAUCAGCAGAUCUAUAUGACGUAGACGCACUGUCCCCGAGAUUUCCGGUAUCAGCGAUCGUCGUCGCCGCACCGGCGAGAACUUGAGAGGACGGAGAUUCGUGGAGAUCUGAGAUCGCCGGAACCGUGGUGACGACGGAUGAUGAGGCGGUGUUGGAUGAGGGUGUUGGAGAGGGGAGCGAGGUGAGGGGAACAGCAUCACGAGCCCCAGAGGGGGCCACAACUGUGAACAACAGAAACACGUGGAGUGUCAAGUCCAUUACCGAAGAACUAGUCAUUUUGACUUUUUAGAAUCACUCCUUUUUUUUACCAGUAUUAUAUACGGAGUAGUAAUUUCACUGAGAGUGUGAUUUAUCUUCCGACUCCCUUGACUUGUAUAGGCAUAGGAGCGGUACGCAUUUUAACGAUUUUUUAAAGUGUAGUUAUAUAUUUUUUUUGAUUUUUUUAUUUGAAUAAAAGUUUAAUUAUUUAA
rnacentral:lncRNA from 1 species